rnacentral:rRNA from 1 species
CCUACGGGCGGCAGCAGUGAGGAAUAUUGGUCAAUGGGCGGAAGCCUGAACCAGCCAAGUCGCGUGAGGGAAUAAGGCCCUACGGGUUGUAAACCUCUUUUGCCGGGGAGCAAGGGCGGGGACGUGUCCCGGCCCGGAGAGUACCCGGAGAAAAAGCUUCGGCUAACUCCGUGCCAGCACCCGCGGUAAUACGGAGGUUGCGAGCGUUAUCCGGAUUUAUUGGGUUAAAGGGGUGCGUAGGCGGGCUUUAAAGUCAGCGGUAAAAAUUCGGGGCUCAACCCCGUCCGGCCGUUGAAACUGGGGGCCGUGAGUGGGCGAGAAGAAGGCGGAAUGCGUGGUGUAGCGGUGAAAUGCAUAGAUAUCACGCAGAACCCCGAUUGCGAAGGCAGCCUUCCGGCGCCCUACUGACGCUGAGGCACGAAAGUGCGGGGAUCGAACAGGAUUAGAUACCCUUGUAGUC